GAAAACAUUUGGAAUUAAAGAUACAUGGUGAAGUUGUGGCAAAGCAUAUUAAGACCUGGCACCAAACGGGGCUUCUAAUUAUAUCUUGGAACCAAUAAAGAAGCUCAACUAUGAAAGUGAAUGCCAAUUCAGACCCAGGCAGUGCCUGUAAUUAUGAGCAGUCGAGAUUGCAAUGGCAUUGCAAAAACUGGCUCAGGUAAACCCUUGCAUACGUGCUGCGAAUGCUGAGGCAUAUCAAGGACCAGCUACCUUUGGUGGCAGGAGAUGGGCCUUUUGGUCUUGUAAUGGCGGAUGAGGGAGCUUGUUCAGCAGAUUCAGUGUUAUUAAUAUUACCAAGUUGCAUAGGUACUGGGUCUCAGGUGUGUGCCUGUAUAUGGAGGCUCUGGAAUGCAGGUUGGAAGAGAGGGGAGCAGGUUGGAAGAGAUCACUAAUCAGGCAUUAUCACUUCCUGGUGACGCUCUGCAACGCAGAUAUCAAAAUUUAUAAUGUGGCCGUAGGGGAUUGAAACUUUUGCUUUUCAACCGUCAAGAAUCUUCACAAGUUCUCUCGGAA
rnacentral:sRNA from 1 species